UACAGACAUACAUACAUACAUACACACACGCGCAUUUCCAUGUGCACGGUUCUUUCUAUAUUGUUUCUCUGUAAAUCAGUACUGAAGUAUUAGGUGCCUACAGCACAGACGACUUGACAGCUGCAGGGCUUUCUCAUUUUUCUUUUCAACAUAGUAAUUUCAGAUAAUUUCCCCCGCGUUCUCUCUUCUUGGCAAUUUGUAUAUGAAUAACAGAAUAAUUUUGUCUUUUGUUUCCUCUUUGCUACCUCAAAUCCAAAUAAAGAUGCCUUUUAGUAUUAAAAGUGGUAGAAAAUUACAGGUAAUUAUCUUUGACGGUAAAAACGCUGUAAUCAGCGGGCUACAUCAAAAAUUACCCUAAUUAUGCCUGCAUUUAUGAGAAUGAGAAAAAAACCUUCUCGUAGAUAAAACCCAUAAAUUGUCCCAAAUAUCUCCUUCAUAUUGAACAGGACUGCAGCUGGAGGCUUUGUUCAGAAUCGAUCCUGUGGCGCUUGGCAUUCAGCAUUUUACAGUGAGAGCGGGGGAUAGAGGGGUGAAACAUUUUGUCAAUACUUUAAUAAUUGAGGUAGAAAAUGGCAAGAUUGACUGGACAAGAAACAACCAGGUUCUACGGAAAAAUAGUAUAGACAGAAGAAGGACUAGGUUUCCACAGCUGCUGUGAGUGAGAGAUGACCGGAGAAAUAGCCCUCGGAAAGCGACGGCCCAUCCUGGUACUAUUAGGCUUGUGGCUAAUAAUAGGUGUUUCAGUCCAGGGAAGAUCAAUCAGGGGGAAUCAGGGGGAAUGUUCAGAGGAGCACUUUUACACAUCUGCCCAGAUGGAUGAAAUUACACUUGUCUGUUUUUAGUUGCAUUACUUCCAAAUUGGUUGUCUACUUUUUCCCCCCCCCUCAUUCAUGUGUCAAUGGUCUACUAAAAGGAUUCUGUGCUAAAUCCCCUGUCAUUUCAGUCUUGCACCCAUCUCCCUUGCUCUCUAUUUAUUUACAAACUUGCAUAUGCACACGUAAUGACCAGAUAACACCACAGCCCGAUUUCACUUCUGAGGGUACUAGGGGUAGGAAAUUAUCUUGUGUUCACAUCCGAUGUGCAAGGCUUUCUUCUGAAUUCUCAGUGCACUUCUCAGCGUAUGAUAGAUGCAGCUCAAUGCAUUAAAAUCCAGCCUGGUUAAUGUUCUUUUUUUUUUUCGGUAGGAUCACUGCUAGCCUAUUGUAACUACCAAAUAUAAAGCUUAACCAUUCAAAACUAGUAGAGACAAUACAGUAAUGAUUUAUUUACAGAAAUGCUUUUCAAUUACAAUUUUCUUUCUGACUAAAUGUCAGGGUCGAUAAAUUAAUUUCCAUCAGUUGAAAGUAGCACAAUAUUGUUAAAUUUAGCAAAUUUCCAUGAUAAUGAAUGGGCAAGAGGUCAAAACUAUCAUUAAAGAAAAAUGUGAUUGCCUCAAUUAUAUGUAUGACAGAAUACAACCAAAUUAAGAAGCCCUCAUAUAUAAACAUACAAAUAAUUGUAGAACCUAAUAUAUUUAAAUUCUUGGGAAUAAAUGCAUUUAUUGAAUUUGGAUACAGAUUCGUUUGCAUAUUCAAUUACAUGUGCUCAUUUGGAUAAACAGCUAUUUGCAUUGGAAUAACUAUUUGCAUUCAUUUUUGCAUGAAGGAUAUGGGUGGUGCAUUUUCACUGUAAACAUAAAUAAAAAAUCUUUACACUAUACUACAUGAGUGAUACCAUUAGUAUCUUGAUUAAAUUCCACAUAUCACUUGUCUUGCAUUCCAUUUGUAUGUACUUAUUUGUUCAGUGUAAAUAUAUUGAAAUAUUUUUGUAAAUGUGGAAAUCGAUGUUAUAUGGAAUUCCAGAUCAGCAGCCUGGAUUAUUUAAUUAUUUUUUAUUUAACGAAAAAAAUAACUUGCAUAUGCAUUCAUGUUUAAGUGUAUUGCAGCUGUGCAUGUUUCUGUCUGUUGAAUGUUUGAGAUGAAUAAAGGAUUUGAAAAUAAAUUGGCUAAAUUGCUA